rnacentral:rRNA from 1 species
UACGUAGGGUGCGAGCGUUAAUCGGAAUUACUGGGCGUAAAGCGUGCGCAGGCGGUUCUGCAAGUCAGAUGUGAAAUCCCCGGGCUUAACCUGGGAACUGCGUUUGAAACUACGGAGCUAGAGUGCGGCAGAGGGGGGUGGAAUUCCACGUGUAGCAGUGAAAUGCGUAGAUAUGUGGAGGAACACCGAUGGCGAAGGCAGCUCGCUGGGACGGUACUGACGCUGAGGCGCGAAAGCGUGGGGAGCGAACAGG